rfam:Exidia glandulosa HHB12029 unplaced genomic scaffold EXIGLscaffold_88, whole genome shotgun sequence.
GACGCGAUGGCCGAGUGGUUAAGGCGAUUGACUCGAACGGUCCCAGGACCACGUGAUCAAUUUCGUUAUGCGAGCGUAGGUUCAAGUCCUACUCGCGUCG